rnacentral:rRNA from 1 species
UACGUAUGGAGCAAGCGUUAUCCGGAUUUACUGGGUGUAAAGGGUGCGUAGGUGGCCUGCCAAGUCCGAUGUGAAAUGCCGGGGCUUAACCCCGGAGCUGCAUUGGAAACUGGUGGGCUGGAGUGCAGGAGGGGCAGGCGGAAUUCCUGGUGUAGCGGUGAAAUGCGUAGAGAUCAGGAAGAACACCGGUGGCGAAGGCGGCCUGCUGGACUGAGACUGACACUGAGGCACGAAAGCGUGGGGAG